GGAGCGGUGUCCGAGUGGUUUAAGGAGGCGGUCUUGAAAACCGUUGUGCCGAAAGGUACCGGGGGUUCGAAUCCCCCCUGCUCCG
rnacentral:tRNA from 3 species